rnacentral:rRNA from 1 species
AUGACUUCUGUGCUUGCACAGAAUGAUUAGUGGCGAACGGGUGAGUAACACGUGAGUAACCUGCCCUUGACUUCGGGAUAAGCCUGGGAAACCGGGUCUAAUACCGGAUACGACCUCCUGGCGCAUGCCAUGGGGGUGGAAAGCUUUAUGCGGUUUUGGAUGGACUCGCGGCCUAUCAGCUUGUUGGUUGGGGUAAUGGCCCACCAAGGCGACUACGGGUAGCCGGCCUGAGAGGGUGACCGGCCACACUGGGACUGAGACACGGCCCAGACUCCUACGGGAGGCAGCAGUGGGGAAUAUUGCACAAUGGGCGGAAGCCUGAUGCAGCGACGCCACGUGAGGGAUGACGGCCUUCGGGUUGUAAACCUCUUUCAGCAGGGAAGAAGCGAAAGUGACGGUACCUGCAGAAGAAGCGCCGGCUAACUACGUGCCAGCAGCCGCGGUAAUACGUAGGGCGCAAGCGUUAUCCGGAAUUAUUGGGCGUAAAGAGCUCGUAGGCGGUUUGUCGCGUCUGCUGUGAAAGCCCGGGGCUCAACCCCGGGUCUGCAGUGGGUACGGGCAGACUAGAGUGAUGUAGGGGAGACUGGAAUUCCUGGUGUACCGAUGAAAUGCGCAGAUCUCAAGAGGAACAGCGAUAGCUAAAGCGGGUCUCUGGGCAUUAACUGACGCUCAGGAGCGAAAGCAUGGGGAGCGAACAGGAUUACAUACACUGGUAGUCCAUGCCGUAAACGUUGGGCACUAGGUGUGGGGGGACAUUCCACGUUUUCCGCGCCGUAGCUAACGCAUUAAGUGCCCCGCCUGGGGAGUACGGCCGCAAGGCUAAAACUCAAAGGAAUUGACGGGGGCCCGCACAAGCGGCGGAGCAUGCGGAUUAAUUCGAUGCAACGCGAAGAACCUUACCAAGGCUUGACAUGAACCGGUAAAGCGUAGAAAUACGCUCCCCACUUGUGGCCGGUUUACAGGUGGUGCAUGGUUGUCGUCAGCUCGUGUCGUGAGAUGUUGGGUUAAGUCCCGCAACGAGCGCAACCCUCGUUCUAUGUUGCCAGCGGGUUAUGCCGGGGACUCAUAGGAGACUGCCGGGGUCAACUCGGAGGAAGGUGGGGACGACGUCAAAUCAUCAUGCCCCUUAUGUCUUGGGCUUCACGCA